AUCCUGUGAAGCUGCAAUUCCCUAAUGUUUUGUGUGCCUUCUGCAUCCUGCAAAUACAUCCAUCACUUCAGCUCUGGCACUGCAUGCCUACCUCUGCUAAUUAUCACCUCUUUAUCCACACUCUUCUUCCUUAGCAAGCAAGUUCAAAGCCUCAGCAGAAGAAAAGGCCAAACAAGAAAUUAUCCCAAGCCUGGCAGCAUUUCCACUUCCUAUAUUUUAUUAUCCACCUCCUCCAGAUGAAGGGAAAUGGAACAGUGAAAGAAAGAAAAGCCAAGGAGAAAAAGGUCUGGGUGCAUAUCCAAGCCACCCAACUGUGACAGUGAAACACCAUACGUGCAAGCUUGAGAAGAUGACCUACAUGAACCUAAUGAGGUCCAGCAAGGCCAAGUGCAAGGUGCCAUGAAGGAAAGACAGGGGUGGGAUGCAGCCUGCAAUUUGGACAUGCACUACGUCUCUGGACUUAUGUUAAAGACAGUGCACACACAGGGUACAGUUCGUUUUCCUACCCACCAGCUGCCAGCCAAGAAGAGAAUGGGUCUUCCGUAGACACCCUGUCAUAUCUGUCACCCCAUGCAAAUGUCUCACAUUCCUUAAGGUGUCUCAAAGGGCACGAGAAGACUGUUUAGGCACCUUAAUGGAGUCCAAAGCUACAGUCAUGUCAAGGCCAAAAGUGUCAUCAUUAUGGAUGUGGUUGUUUUCAGUAGAAGGUUACCUGAAAUCGCAUCAAACCCUCCAGGCAAGUCAGAACUCAAUAGAAAAUGGAAUGAGAGCACUUCCAGAGGGCUGUAAGUUCAGACUACGUAUCAAAGCUGGCUGAAACAAGAAACAAGCAAACCCUUGCUGAUAUCUCUGCCAAAUCAACGAUACACUUCAGACACACAGCUGGAUUGGGAUUCCCAAAGGAACCAAAAGCAUUUAGAUACCCAGAUCUUUGAAAUCAAUGGCCAGUUCCUCCCAGCUUCCUCGAAUACCAUUGAGAAUACAGAUCUGAUUUUGGUUUUGCUU
ensembl:lncRNA